rnacentral:rRNA from 1 species
UACGGAGGGUGCAAGCGUUAAUCGGAAUUACUGGGCGUAAAGCGCGCGUAGGCGGUUUGAUCAGUUGGGUGUGAAAGCCCCGGGCUCAACCUGGGAACUGCAUCCAAUACUGUCAGGCUAGAGUACGAGAGAGGGGGGUAGAAUUCCUAGUGUAGCGGUGAAAUGCGUAGAUAUUAGGAGGAAUACCAGUGGCGAAGGCGGCCCCCUGGCUCGAUACUGACGCUGAGGUGCGAAAGCGUGGGGAGCAAACAGG